ACCCUUUGUACUAAAACCCCGUUAGCAAUUCAUAGAUGACAAAGGAUCUGAGCCUUAGAUAUAUGAAAACUCAUCACUGUGGCAUCUAUAGAGGCAGUGUGGCAAAACAGAACUCAGAAUCCUAGGUUACACAUCACACAUUAACAAAGUAUCAAUAGAACUUGACUCCAGUUCUACUGUUGACCUCAAGCCCAAAAAAGCUAGAGAGCAAACACAGCCUACAGCUUUCAAGGAGAAACACUUGUGGCCUCUUUCUUAAUCAACUUCACGGUGACUUAAAAAUAUUUAUGUUAUGUCAAUUGAUACAAUGAUUGGGAUAUAUUCUAUUUUCUUAAAUAUUCAAGAAAAUGGAAGAUUUCUCCUUAAAAGACAAGGAGAGAGAAAUAUGCCAAAAAUGAGAAUAGGGAGUAGAGGCUAAAACCAAAAUUAGUAUUCAGAAAUUCCAAAUGAUGCUGAAAUUCCCAGAGGGAAGUAUUUAUUUAUAUAAGUAUAUUCGGUUAAUUAUUUAUAGAAAUAAAACUCAGGAAAAUUCCACUCUCACUGUUUUUAUCUGCGUACACUGUCCCUAGAGGGCUUGUAUGUGGGUUUCCAUUCUCAGAAUCAGAAAGUCCCUGUUUGUUCUUGUCCUUGUUAUCAUUUUAUUUUAAAAUAAAAUUUGUGAGAGUAGUGAUCACACUAAUUUUUCUCUGUGUUUAGAAGGCCCGCUAUUUUAAAGACUGAUUAUUCAUAUUUUUAAAAAUCACAUUUUUUUCAUAUAUAUAUGAAAGACAUAAAUUUGGAAUGCUUUAAUAAAGUUCAAAAGUCAGGAUAUGUGCUCAUUAGCCUGACAUCAUCAGCUGAAAUGACGCCAUUCGCAUCCAAGACUUAAUGCACUUGCUGUCGAUGUUUGAUGUAUGCCAGGCACAACCUUAUUCUCCACAAAAAGCCAAAGAAAGACCCAAGUAAUAUCAAACUCAGAGAAUGGGAGGCAAGAAAAGGAGAGCGUGAAGUACACAGAUGAUAACAAAUCAUCCAGAAUUAUCAAGAGUCAAGAUGAAGGCCAAAACCAGCAAGGUAAAAUUUAAUAAAUGUAAUAUUCUGCAUUACUCUUCAAGUAAAUUAGUUAAAUAAUUCACUUAGAAAAAGAAAUAAGCAUUUCAGUUAUCUAAAACUCAGUAUAAGCCAAUAUAUGCAACUGGUUACCAAAAACAUUCAUAAACUCCUAAUCUAUACUAAAAGAGGAAAGAAUGAACUUAGACCUGUGCACUCAAUAUUGGUCAGAUCAUAUGUAGUGUAUUUUGUUAAUAUAUGUAUUUUUUUAUUUUUG
rnacentral:lncRNA from 1 species